rnacentral:lncRNA from 1 species
AUGAAUCCAGAAUGUUCCAUAGUACAUUACCAAAGUGCACAGCUGAGCUUGUCCUCCAGCGCACACUUCAAAACUUCCCUUCUUAUGCCCUGUGGGCUGUCAGUCUCUUUCAUUCCACCUACUCUGAAUAGAUCUCUUUUCACUGCCUCUCUUUUCCCCUCUCCUCUUUUCCUGUUUCCUAGCUUAUUGGUUUUUCCUUUUGUUCCAGCUUUACUGUGGUAUAACUGUUAAAUAAAAAUUAUAUAUAUUUAAGGCAUAUGAAAUCAUACUUUCAUAUAUGUAUACAUUGUGAAAUGAUUACCACAAUCAAGCUAAUUUUCAUAUCACUGACCUCACAUAGUUACAAUUCUUUGUGUGUGAUGAGAACACAUAAGAUCAAUUCUCCUAGAAAAUUUCAAGGAUAUAAUACAGUAUAAUUACCUGCAGGUACCAUGCUGUACAUUAGAUCUUCAGCACUUAUUCAUAUUACAUAAAAGGACUAUGUACACUUUGACCAACAUUUUCCCAUUUUUCCCACCUCUCAGAACCCAGCAACCACUGUUCUAUCUCUGAGUUCCACUUUUUAGCAUUUCACACAAAUACUACAUGAGAUCAUGUAGUAUUUGUCUUUACUCUGUCUAGCUUAUUUCAUUUAGCCAAUGUCCUCCAGGUUCAUCCAUGUUGUUGCAGAUUUCCUCUUUUUGUAAGGCUGAAUAUAUAAUUACAUUUUCUCAUCUAUUCAUCUGUCAAAAAACAUUUAGUUUGUUUCCAUAUAUUGGAUAUUGUGAAUAAUGCUGCAAUGAACAUGCUGGUGCAGAUAUGCCUUCAAUAUACUAAUUUCAUGAUUUGAGACAGAUAUCCAGAACUGGGUUUGCUGGAUUAUACGGCAGUUCUAUUUUUUAAUUUUUUUUAGGACCCUUCAUGCUGUUCCAUAACAGCUAUACCAAUGUACAUUCCCUCCAACAGUGCACAAGGGUUCCCCUUUCUCUACAUUCUUACCAACAAAAUAUCUAAAAAGGAAAUUAAAAAAACUAUCCCAUUUAUAGUAGCAAACAAAAAGUCUAAAAUACUUAGGAAAAAAACAUAACCAGAGUUGAAAGACUUGUACACUGAAAAUUAUAAAACAUUGAUGAAGGAAUUAAAGAAGACACAAAUAAAUGUAAAGACAUCCCACUUUUCA